UGGGGAAUUUUGGACAAUGGGCGCAAGCCUGAUCCAGCCAUUCCGCGUGAGUGAAGAAGGCCUUCGGGUUGUAAAGCUCUUUCGCAAGGGAAGAAAACUUAGGCUCUAACAUAGCCUGAGGUUGACGGUACCUUGAUAAGAAGCACCGGCUAACUACGUGCCAGCAGCCGCGGUAAUACGUAGGGUGCGAGCGUUAAUCGGAAUUACUGGGCGUAAAGCGUGCGCAGGCGGUUUUGUAAGUCAGAUGUGAAAUCCCCGAGCUCAACUUGGGAACUGCGUUUGAAACUACAAGACUAGAAUAUGUCAGAGGGGGGUAGAAUUCCACGUGUAGCAGUGAAAUGCGUAGAGAUGUGGAGGAAUACCAAUGGCGAAGGCAGCCCCCUGGGAUAAUAUUGACGCUCAUGCACGAAAGCGUGGGGAGCAAACA
rnacentral:rRNA from 1 species